rnacentral:lncRNA from 1 species
CAAGUCCAGGGAAAGGAAAAGGAAAAGAUCAAGCUCCCGAGACAACCGGAAAACAGUUCGAGCUCGGAGUCGAACUCCAAGUCGUCGGAGUAGGAGUCACACUCCUAGUCGGAGGAGACGGUCUAGAUCUGUUGGUAGAAGGAGAAGUUUUAGCAUUUCCCCUAGCCGAAGGAGCAGAACCCCCAGCCGCAGGAGCAGAACCCCCAGCCGCAGGAGCAGGACCCCCAGCCGCAGGAGCAGGACCCCCAGCCGCAGGAGCAGAACCCCCAGCCGCAGGAGCAGAACUCCCAGCCGUCGGAGAAGAUCAAGAUCUGUGGUAAGAAGACGAAGCUUCAGUAUAUCACCAGUCAGAUUAAGGCGAUCAAGAACACCUUUGAGAAGAAGGUUUAGUAGAUCUCCCAUUCGUCGGAAAAGAUCCAGGUCUUCUGAAAGAGGCAGAUCACCCAAACGUCUAACAGAUUUGGAUAAGGCUCAAUUACUUGAAAUAGCCAAAGCUAAUGCAGCUGCCAUGUGUGCUAAGGCUGGUGUUCCUUUGCCACCAAACCUAAAGCCUGCACCUCCACCUACAAUAGAAGAGAAAGUUGCUAAAAAGUCUGGAGGAGCUACCAUAGAAGAACUAACUGAGAAAUGCAAACAGAUUGCACAGAGUAAAGAAGAUGAUGAUGUAAUAGUGAAUAAACCUCAUGUUUCGGAUGAAGAGGAAGAAGAGCCUCCUUUUUAUCAUCAUCCCUUUAAACUCAGUGAACCCAAGCCCAUUUUUUUCAAUUUGAAUAUUGCUGCAGCAAAGCCAACUCCACCAAAAAGCCAAGUAACAUUAACAAAGGAGUUUCCUGUGUCAUCUGGAUCUCAACAUCGGAAAAAGGAAGCGGAUAGUGUUUAUGGAGAGUGGGUUCCAGUAGAGAAAAAUGGCGAAGAAAGCAAAGAUGACGAUAAUGUGUUCAGCAGCAGCUUGCCCUCAGAGCCUGUGGACAUUUCAACAGCAAUGAGUGAACGGGCACUUGCUCAGAAGAGACUCAGUGAGAAUGCAUUUGACCUUGAAGCCAUGAGUAUGUUAAAUCGAGCUCAAGAACGGAUUGACGCCUGGGCUCAGUUGAACUCUAUCCCUGGGCAGUUCACAGGAAGUACAGGAGUACAAGUCCUGACACAGGAACAGCUGGCUAAUACUGGUGCCCAAGCCUGGAUUAAAAAGGAUCAGUUCUUAAGAGCAGCCCCAGUAACUGGAGGAAUGGGAGCUGUGUUGAUGAGAAAAAUGGGCUGGAGAGAAGGAGAAGGACUAGGAAAGAACAAAGAAGGAAAUAAGGAACCCAUCCUUGUUGACUUUAAGACAGACCGAAAAGGUCUUGUUGCAGUAGGAGAGAGAGCACAAAAGAGGUCUGGGAACUUCUCCGCUGCAAUGAAAGACUUGUCAGGCAAACAUCCUGUGUCUGCCUUGAUGGAAAUCUGUAAUAAGAGAAGGUGGCAACCACCUGAAUUUCUCUUGGUCCAUGACAGUGGCCCUGACCAUCGCAAACACUUCCUCUUUAGGGUAUUGAUAAAUGGAAGCGCUUACCAGCCCAGCUUUGCCAGCCCUAAUAAGAAGCAUGCUAAAGCCACAGCAGCUACUGUGGUUCUUCAAGCAAUGGGCCUUGUACCAAAGGACCUCAUGGCUAAUGCCACUUGCUUCAGGAGUGCCUCACGUAGAUAGAUUGAGGUUUUAUAUUAAUCAUUUCAGAUAAUUUUACUCUGCAUCACAAUGUAUUUCCUCCUUAAUGUUGUAAAUAUUUCACAAUUUAAGACAUUGUGUAAAAAGCAAUCUGUACAAACAUCUCCAGGCUUUGGUUUUGUACCAUGGAAAUUGUAUUUAACCACACAGGGUUUUGGUAUGUUUAUAUUGUUUACCUUAGUGAUGUAUUUGUUUAAGUGGCUAACAUCAAAACAAUUGUUUGAGGGCAUCAGUAAUAUUCAGUGUGGAAUGUUAAAUAACGCUUUUAUACUGUAUUUUGUACUAUGAUGUAACUUCCCUUCCAUACGGCUAGGCUGCUGUAACACUUGCCUGUAAUCAGUGAAGGGCUGUGCACCUUGUACUAUUUCACAAUGGGUUCUGCUGGACAGAUACUGGGCCAGUGUUAUUAAAGUAAUGAAGCAAGAUCUGUCCCACAGGGCUAAUGCCACCAUCUCCCCCUUUUUGUAGAGAUUAUGAAAAGAAAGUGAUACGUUGUGUCAUGAUCAGUACUAAGUCCUGCAUUCCCAUUAAAGCCACUUGGGUCAUAAGAAAGAAGUCAAAAUGGAAGUCCAACUAGAAUUUUACUUCAGAGGCCAAGUACAUAUUUAGUAUGGCUUGAGUUGUGAUAUAGUUUUACUUUGAUGUGCAUUUUGAAUUUCAGCUACACCUAGAUAGACGUAAAUAAUAAAAAUGCUGUAACCAACUUAUCUAAUAAAAAUUGGCAACCAGCCGCUAUUUUGUUGACUGAGAAAGUUUAAGUUUAUGUUAAUUUUUUAGGGUCUGAUAGAAUAUUCAUGUGUAUUACAGUGGUAUUCAUAUGCUAUGUCUCUAAACUUUAUUUUCAAAAGCUUAAGGCCCAAAUACAAACUUCUCUGGAAUAAA